rnacentral:rRNA from 1 species
UCUGACUUGAGUGCAGAAGGGGAGAGUGGAAUUCCAUGUGUAGCGGUGAAAUGCGUAGAUAUAUGGAGGAACACCAGUGGCGAAAGCGGCUCUNUGGUCUGUCACUGACGCUGAGGCUCGAAAGCGUGGGUAGCGAACAGGAUUAGAUACCCUGGUAGUNCACGCCGUAAACGAUGAGUGCUAGGUGUUAGGCCCUUUCCGGGGCUUAGUGCCGGAGCUAACGCAAUAAGCACUCCGCCUGGGGAGUACGACCGCAAGGUUGAAACUCAAAGGAAUUGACGGGGGCCCGCACAAGCGGUGGAGCAGGUGGUUUAAUUCGAAGCAACGCGAAGAACCUUACCAGGUCUUGACAUCCCGAUGCUAUUCUUAGAGAUAGGAAGUUACUUCGGUACAUCGGAGACAGGUGGUGCAUGGUUGUCGUCAGCUCGUGUCGUGAGAUGUUGGGUUANNNNNNNCAACGAGCGCAACCCUUAUUGUUAGUUGCCAUCAUUAAGUUGGGCACUCUAGCGAGACUGCCGGUAAUAAACCGGAGGAAGGUGGGGAUGACGUCAAAUCAUCAUGCCCCUUAUGACCUGGGCUACACACGUGCUACAGUGGUCGGUACAACGAGUUGCGAGCCGGUGACGGCAAGCUAAUCUCUGAAAGCCGAUCUCAGUUCGGAUUGGAGGCUGCAACUCGCCUCCANGAAGUCGGAAUCGCUAGUAAUCGCGGAUCAGCACGCCGCGGUGAAUACGUUCCCGGGCCUNG